AUGAUGGACUAUAGGACAGGACUGCUGCUUUUAACUCUCUGCUGGGCAGGUGUUGAUGGUCAGACUCUGACAGAAUCUGAACCAGCAAUUAAAAGACCUGGAGAAUCUCACAGAUUGACCUGUACAACAUCUGGAUUCACAUUCAGCAGCUACUACAUGGCCUUUGUCAGACAGGCUCCUGGAAAAGGACUGGAGUGGGUUGCUACUGCUGAUACUGGUGGUAGUAGCAAAUACUACUCUCAGUCAGUCCAAGGCCGGUUUACCAUCUCCAGAGACAACAGCAGAGAGCAGCUGUAUCUGCAGAUGAACAGUCUGAAGACUGAAGAUUCUGCUGUUUAUUAUUGUGCU